rnacentral:rRNA from 1 species
UUUAAGCCCCAGUAAACGGCGGUGGUAACUAUAACCAUCCUAAGGUAGCGAAAUUCCUUGUCGGGUAAGUUCCGACCUGCACGAAUGGCGUAACGACUUCCCAACUGUCUCAACCAUAGACUCGGCGAAAUUGCACUACGAGUAAAGAUGCUCGUUACGCGCGGCAGGACGAAAAGACCCCGGGACCUUCACUACAACUUGGUAUUGGUGUUCGGUACGGUUUGUGUAGGAUAGGUGGGAGACUGUGAAAUACAGACGCCAGUUUGUAUGGAGUCGUUGUUGAAAUACCACUCUGAUCGUAUUGGACACCUAACGUCGAACCCUUAUCGGGUUCACGGACAGUGCCUGGCGGGUAGUUUAACUGGGGCGGUUGCCUCCUAAAAUGUAACGGAGGCGCCCAAAGGUUCCCUCAACCUGGAC